AAGGAAUAUUGGUCAAUGGACGCAAGUCUGAACCAGCCAUGCCGCGUGGGGGAUGAAGGCCUUCGGGUUGUAAACCCCUUUCGGUAGGGACGAAGGGAAACUGACGGUACCUGCAGAAGAAGUCCCGGCUAACUACGUGCCAGCAGCCGCGGUAACACGUAGGGGACGAGCGUUGUCCGGAUUCAUUGGGCGUAAAGCGCGCGUAGGCGGCUCGGAAAGUCGGUCGUGAAAUGCCGGGGCUCAACCCCGGGACUGCGUCCGAUACUUCCGGGCUGGAGGUAGGUAGGGGAGAUCGGAAUUCCUGGUGUAGCGGUGAAAUGCGCAGAUAUCAGGAGGAACACCGGUGGCGAAGGCGGAUCUCUGGGCCUUACCUGACGCUGAGGCGCGAAAGCUAGGGGAGCGAAC
rnacentral:rRNA from 1 species